rnacentral:rRNA from 1 species
UACCAGCACCCCGAGUGGUCGGGACGAUUAUUGGGCCUAAAGCAUCCGUAGCCGGUUCUGCAAGUCCUCCGUUAAAUCCAACUGCUUAACAGAUGGGCCGCGGAGGAUACUACAGAGCUAGGAGGCAGGAGAGGCAAGCGGUACUCAGUGGGUAGGGGUAAAAUCCGUUGAUCCAUUGAAGACCACCAGUGGCGAAGGCGGCUUGCCAGAAUGCGCUCGACGGUGAGGGAUGAAAGCUGGG